UGGGGAAUAUUGCACAAUGGGCGAAAGCCUGAUGCAGCAACGCCGCGUGAGUGAUGAAGGCCUUCGGGUUGUAAAGCUCUGUCUUUUGGGACGAUAAUGACGGUACCAAAGGAGGAAGCCACGGCUAACUACGUGCCAGCAGCCGCGGUAAUACGUAGGUGGCAAGCGUUGUCCGGAUUUACUGGGCGCAAAGGAUGCGUAGGCGGAUUUUUAAGUGAGAUGUGAAAACCCUAAGCUUAACUUGGGGACUGCAUUUCAUACUGGAAAUCUAGAGUGCGGGAGAGGAGAAUGGAAUUCCUAGUGUAGCGGUGAAAUGCGUGGAGAUUAGGAAGAACACCAGUGGCGAAGGCGAUUCUCUGGACCGUAACUGACGCUGAGGCAUGAAAGCGUGGGUAGCAAACAGGAUUAGAUACCCUGGUAGUCCACGCCGUAAACGAUGAGUACUAGGUGUAGGAGGUAUCGACCCCUUCUGUGCCGCAGUUAACACAAUAAGUACUCCGCCUGGGAAGUACGAUCGCAAGAUUAAAACUCAAAGGAAUUGACGGGGUCAUAGCUGUUUUCC
rnacentral:rRNA from 1 species